rnacentral:rRNA from 1 species
CCAAGCGUACACGGUGGAUGCCCUGGCAGUCAGAGGCGAUGAAGGACGUGCUAAUCUGCGAUAAGCGCCGGUAAGGUGAUAUGAACCGUUAUAACCGGCGAUUUCCGAAUGGGGAAACCCAGUGUGAUUCGUCACACUAUCAUUAACUGAAUCCAUAGGUUAAUGAGGCGAACCGGGGGAACUGAAACAUCUAAGUACCCCGAGGAAAAGAAAUCAACCGAGAUUCCCCCAGUAGCGGCGAGCGAACGGGGAGGAGCCCAGAGCCUGAAUCAGCAUGUGUGUUAGUGGAAGCGUCUGGAAAGGCGCGCGAUACAGGGUGACAGCCCCGUACACAAAAGCGCAUAUGCUGUGAGCUCGAUGAGUAGGGCGGGACACGUGGUAUCCUGUCUGAAUAUGGGGGGACCAUCCUCCAAGGCUAAAUACUCCUGACUGACCGAUAGUGAACCAGUACCGUGAGGGAAAGGCGAAAAGAACCCCGGCGAGGGGAGUGAAACAGAACCUGAAACCGUGUACGUACAAGCAGUGGGAGCACAGGUUUACCUGUGUGACUGCGUACCUUUUGUAUAAUGGGUCAGCGACUUAUAUUCUGUAGCAAGGUUAACCGCAUAGGGGAGCCGAAGGGAAACCGAGUCUUAAUUGGGCGUUAAGUUGCAGGGUAUAGACCCGAAACCCGGUGAUCUAGCCAUGGGCAGGUUGAAGGUUGGGUAACACUAACUGGAGGACCGAACCGACUAAUGUUGAAAAAUUAGCGGAUGACCUGUGGCUGGGGGUGAAAGGCCAAUCAAACCGGGAGAUAGCUGGUUCUCCCCGAAAGCUAUUUAGGUAGCGCCUCGUGAAUUCAUCUCCGGGGGUAGAGCACUGUUUCGGCUAGGGGGCCAUCCCGGCUUACCAACCCGAUGCAAACUGCGAAUACCGGAGAAUGUUAUCACGGGAGACACACGGCGGGUGCUAACGUCCGUCGUGAAGAGGGAAACAACCCAGACCGCCAGCUAAGGUCCCAAAGUCAUGGUUAAGUGGGAAACGAUGUGGGAAGGCCCAGACAGCCAGGAUGUUGGCUUAGAAGCAGCCAUCAUUUAAAGAAAGCGUAAUAGCUCACUGGUCGAGUCGGCCUGCGCGGAAGAUGUAACGGGGCUAAACCAUGCACCGAAGCUGCGGCAGCGAACGUAUCACUUAAAACGAUUCAGAAGCUUACGAUUGACGGAGCGAAGCGACGUCAAAGCGUAUACAAAGUCGAGUCGGUUUAAGGAUACGUUCGUUGGGUAGGGGAGCGUUCUGUAAGCCUGCGAAGGUGGCCUGUGAGGGUUGCUGGAGGUAUCAGAAGUGCGAAUGCUGACAUAAGUAACGAUAAAGCGGGUGAAAAGCCCGCUCGCCGGAAGACCAAGGGUUCCUGUCCAACGUUAAUCGGGGCAGGGUGAGUCGACCCCUAAGGCGAGGCCGAAAGGCGUAGUCGAUGGGAAACGGGUUAAUAUUCCCGUACUUGGUGUUACUGCGAAGGGGGGACGGAGAAGGCUAUGUUGGCCGGGCGACGGUUGUCCCGGUUUAAGCGUGUAGGCUGACUUUCCAGGCAAAUCCGGAGAGUCAAGGCUGAGGCGUGACGACGAGGCACCACGGUGCUGAAGCAACAAAUGCCCUGCUUCCAGGAAAAGCCUCUAAGCAUCAGGUAACAUCAAAUCGUACCCCAAACCGACACAGGUGGUCAGGUAGAGAAUACCAAGGCGCUUGAGAGAACUCGGGUGAAGGAACUAGGCAAAAUGGUGCCGUAACUUCGGGAGAAGGCACGCUGACACGUAGGUGAAGUGAUUUACUCAUGGAGCUGAAGUCAGUCGAAGAUACCAGCUGGCUGCAACUGUUUAUUAAAAACACAGCACUGUGCAAACACGAAAGUGGACGUAUACGGUGUGACGCCUGCCCGGUGCCGGAAGGUUAAUUGAUGGGGUCAGCGCAAGCGAAGCUCCUGAUCGAAGCCCCGGUAAACGGCGGCCGUAACUAUAACGGUCCUAAGGUAGCGAAAUUCCUUGUCGGGUAAGUUCCGACCUGCACGAAUGGCGUAAUGAUGGCCAGGCUGUCUCCACCCGAGACUCAGUGAAAUUGAACUCGCUGUGAAGAUGCAGUGUACCCGCGGCAAGACGGAAAGACCCCGUGAACCUUUACUAUAGCUUGACACUGAACAUUGAGCCUUGAUGUGUAGGAUAGGUGGGAGGCUUUGAAGCGUGGACGCCAGUCUGCGUGGAGCCGGCCUUGAAAUACCACCCUUUAAUGUUUGAUGUUCUAACGUGGACCCGUGAUCCGGGUUGCGGACAGUGUCUGGUGGGUAGUUUGACUGGGGCGGUCUCCUCCUAAAGAGUAACGGAGGAGCACGAAGGUUGGCUAAUCCUGGUCGGACAUCAGGAGGUUAGUGCAAUGGCAUAAGCCAGCUUGACUGCGAGCGUGACGGCGCGAGCAGGUGCGAAAGCAGGUCAUAGUGAUCCGGUGGUUCUGAAUGGAAGGGCCAUCGCUCAACGGAUAAAAGGUACUCCGGGGAUAACAGGCUGAUACCGCCCAAGAGUUCAUAUCGACGGCGGUGUUUGGCACCUCGAUGUCGGCUCAUCACAUCCUGGGGCUGAAGUAGGUCCCAAGGGUAUGGCUGUUCGCCAUUUAAAGUGGUACGCGAGCUGGGUUUAGAACGUCGUGAGACAGUUCGGUCCCUAUCUGCCGUGGGCGCUGGAGAACUGAGGGGGGCUGCUCCUAGUACGAGAGGACCGGAGUGGACGCAUCACUGGUGUUCGGGUUGUCAUGCCAAUGGCACUGCCCGGUAGCUAAAUGCGGAAGAGAUAAGUGCUGAAAGCAUCUAAGCACGAAACUUGCCCCGAGAUGAGUUCUCCCUGAGACUUUAAGUCUCCUGAAGGAACGUUGAAGACGACGACGUUGAUAGGCCGGGUGUGUAAGCGCAGCGAUGCGUUGAGCUAACCGGUACUAAUGAACCGUGAGGCUUAACC